CACGUAGGGCGCAAGCGUUGUCCGGAAUUAUUGGGCGUAAAGGAGCUCGUAGGCGGUCUGUUGCGUCCGCUGUGAAAACCCGGGGCUUAACCCCUGGCUUGCAGUGGAUACGGACAGACUAGAGGUAGGUAGGGGAGAAUGGAAUUCCCGGUGUAGCGGUGAAAUGCGCAGAUAUCGGGAGGAACACCGGUGGCGAAGGCGGUUCGCUGGGACGGUACUGACGCUGAGACGCGAAAGCGUGGGGAGCAAACAGGG
rnacentral:rRNA from 1 species